CCUACGGGCGGCAGCAGUGAGGAAUAUUGGUCAAUGGGCUUACGCCUGAACCAGCCAAGUCGCGUGAGGGAAGACUGCCCUAUGGGUUGUAAACCUCUUUUGUCAGGGAGCAACGCCGGCUACGUGUAGCCGGACUGAGAGUACCUGAAGAAAAAGCAUCGGCUAACUCCGUGCCAGCAGCCGCGGUAAUACGGAGGAUGCGAGCGUUAUCCGGAUUUAUUGGGUUUAAAGGGUGCGUAGGCGGAAUGCCAAGUCAGCGGUAAAAUCGCGGGGCUCAACCUCGGUCAGCCGUUGAAACUGGCGGUCUUGAGUGGGCGAGAAGUAUGCGGAAUGCGUGGUGUAGCGGUGAAAUGCAUAGAUAUCGCGCAGAACUCCGAUUGCGAAGGCAGCAUACCGGCGCCCAACUGACGCUGAAGCACGAAAGCGUGGGUAUCGAACAGGAUUAGAUACCCUAGUAGUC
rnacentral:rRNA from 1 species